rnacentral:rRNA from 1 species
UUAAUUGAAGAGUUUGAUCAUGGCUCAGAUUGAACGCUGGCGGCAGGCCUAACACAUGCAAGUCGAGCGGUAGCACAAGAGAGCUUGCUCUCUGGGUGACGAGCGGCGGACGGGUGAGUAAUGUCUGGGAAACUGCCUGAUGGAGGGGGAUAACUACUGGAAACGGUAGCUAAUACCGCAUAACGUCUUCGGACCAAAGUGGGGGACCUUCGGGCCUCACGCCAUCAGAUGUGCCCAGAUGGGAUUAGCUAGUAGGUGGGGUAAUGGCUCACCUAGGCGACGAUCCCUAGCUGGUCUGAGAGGAUGACCAGCCACACUGGAACUGAGACACGGUCCAGACUCCUACGGGAGGCAGCAGUGGGGAAUAUUGCACAAUGGGCGCAAGCCUGAUGCAGCCAUGCCGCGUGUGUGAAGAAGGCCUUCGGGUUGUAAAGCACUUUCAGCGAGGAGGAAGGGUUCAGUGUUAAUAGCACUGUGCAUUGACGUUACUCGCAGAAGAAGCACCGGCUAACUCCGUGCCAGCAGCCGCGGUAAUACGGAGGGUGCAAGCGUUAAUCGGAAUUACUGGGCGUAAAGCGCACGCAGGCGGUUUGUUAAGUCAGAUGUGAAAUCCCCGCGCUUAACGUGGGAACUGCAUUUGAAACUGGCAAGCUAGAGUCUUGUAGAGGGGGGUAGAAUUCCAGGUGUAGCGGUGAAAUGCGUAGAGAUCUGGAGGAAUACCGGUGGCGAAGGCGGCCCCCUGGACAAAGACUGACGCUCAGGUGCGAAAGCGUGGGGAGCAAACAGGAUUAGAUACCCUGGUAGUCCACGCUGUAAACGAUGUCGACUUGGAGGUUGUGCCCUUGAGGCGUGGCUUCCGGAGCUAACGCGUUAAGUCGACCGCCUGGGGAGUACGGCCGCAAGGUUAAAACUCAAAUGAAUUGACGGGGGCCCGCACAAGCGGUGGAGCAUGUGGUUUAAUUCGAUGCAACGCGAAGAACCUUACCUACUCUUGACAUCCACAGAAUUCGCUAGAGAUAGCUUAGUGCCUUCGGGAACUGUGAGACAGGUGCUGCAUGGCUGUCGUCAGCUCGUGUUGUGAAAUGUUGGGUUAAGUCCCGCAACGAGCGCAACCCUUAUCCUUUGUUGCCAGCACGUAAUGGUGGGAACUCAAAGGAGACUGCCGGUGAUAAACCGGAGGAAGGUGGGGAUGACGUCAAGUCAUCAUGGCCCUUACGAGUAGGGCUACACACGUGCUACAAUGGCGUAUACAAAGAGAAGCGAACUCGCGAGAGCCAGCGGACCUCAUAAAGUACGUCGUAGUCCGGAUCGGAGUCUGCAACUCGACUCCGUGAAGUCGGAAUCGCUAGUAAUCGUAGAUCAGAAUGCUACGGUGAAUACGUUCCCGGGCCUUGUACACACCGCCCGUCACACCAUGGGAGUGGGUUGCAAAAGAAGUAGGUAGCUUAACCUUCGGGAGGGCGCUUACCACUUUGUGAUUCAUGACUGGGGUGAAGUCGUAACAAGGUAACCGUAGGGGAACCUGCGGUUGGAUCACCUCCUUACCU